UCCAACUCUAGGGUUUCGAUUCAUCUUCUUCCUCAGAGCCUGAUUUUCACCUGUUACACAAUCAUCUUCUUAAAGUGCUCAUUGAUUCCAUUAUACACUAUCUCAAUUUACUGCAUCUUCUUCCUUAGAACGCUGUUCUCUUGAAAUCAUCCUGACGUAUUCAAACAUAUCCUUCCUCCGACAAUGGUACGUCAAAACCCGCUUCUCGAUUCUGAUCCUGAUUCUGCAACCACCAAAGAGAAUUUCGAAGCCUGCUUCGGCUUCUGUAGAGGCAGUGCCGGUUAAAUCUCCAACGGAAAGCUUCUCCGCAUCUGAUAAUAGAGAAUUUAGGCUAGGAUGAUGCAAUCGAAAGCAAGAGAUCAAGCAUACCAUAGAAAACAAGCUUCACUGGAAUGCGGGUCCAGAAGAUCUAAUUGCAACAGAAGAAAUGGAAUCACUGAAAAUCCAGGAAAAUACAGUGGAGACUUUGUGUAGCAGUUCAAAAUAUUCCAUAAUGAGCUUAAGGAUUUCUUGAAUGCUGGAAGCCUCACUGAACAACUUGAUUCUAUGAAAAUAUCUAUGGAUGAGAGAGGUCUUUCUUCUCUCAGUCUGUUUUUUGAAUGUAAAGAGCGCCUUGACGCAACAGGAGAAUCAACCAAUGUUUUGGAGUUGAUUAAAACUAUGCAUUCUCUGGCUUCUCUAAGAGAAACAAUUGUUAAGGAACUCAAUAGUGGCUUAAGAAAUGAUGCUCCUGAUACUGCCAUUGCAAUGCGCCAGAAGUGGCGCCUUUGUGAGAUUGGCCUCGAGGACUGCUUUUUUUGUUCUACUAAGCAGAUUCCUCAACGCUCUUGAAACUAUGGGAGGAGCUUUUCAACUGGCGAAAGAUGUGAAAUCAUAAAAUGUUUCCUCCUGGAAUUAUCCUCUAGAUGCUUUGGUCUUGGGUGUUCAUCAAGUAGGUCUAUCGGGUUGGAAGCAGGAAGAAUGUUUAGCCAUUGGAAAUGAACUACUACCGUGGCGAGAGAGAGACCUACUUGAAACAGAAGGGGAAGAGAAUGGUAAAACAUACACUUGGUUCUGAGGGAUGGGACGUUAUUGUACCUGGAUCCACUUCUGGGCCAUUAGUUCUGAAGGAGCAAGCAAGUCAGAUUCUGCGGGAAGAAAGGUCUAUAGGUCAUAGAUGAUCUGAUCGAUAUGGAAGUCAUGAAAAGAAGAGAAAAGAAUCUGACGAAGGAAACAAGAAGAAGCCAUGAAAAGGUGGGAGAUUUGCUUCUUUAUAGGCAAAGUGAGCAACUUUGACUAAAAGCCAACCAAACACAUCGCUGUUCAGAUGUGUAUUCAUGAACCAAACCGGUUGGUGAGAUAGAUAAACGUGUUAUUGUAUUGUGCGUAAUACUUUUGCUAAUUUUUAAUAUGUAGUAUAUAGUCAGAUAUGUGUGUGUAAUAUAUUAAAAUAAAAUAACAUAUAAUAAAACAAUGAGGAGAUAUGUGUGUGUAAUAUACUAAAUGUAUAUAGUCAGAUAUGUGUGUGUAAUAUAUCAAUCCCCACCUUUAUAGAGUAACCAAAUGUAGAAAUGUUGCUCUAUAAACUCUUAACUAAAAGCGUCUUACUUGCUA